CCUACGGGGGACAGCAGUGGGGAAUAUUGCACAAUGGGGGAAACCCUGAUGCAGCAACGCCGCGUGAGUGAAGAAGUCAUUCGUGAUUUAAAGCUCUAUCAGCAGGGAAGAAAAUGAAGGUACGUGACCAAGAAGCCACGGAUAACUACGUGCCAGCAGCCGCUGUAAUACGUAGGGGGCAAGCGUUAUCCGGAUUUACUGGGUGUAAAGGGAGCGUAGACGGGGACGACAGUCUGAAGUGAAAUGCUAGGGCUCAACCCUGGAACUGCUUUUGAUACUGUGUGUCUAGAGUGCAGUAGAGGUACGUGGAAUUCCUAGUGUAGCGGUGACAUGCUUAGAUAUUAGGAGGAAC
rnacentral:rRNA from 1 species